rnacentral:rRNA from 1 species
AGCGAACGCUGGCGGCGUGCUUAACACAUGCAAGUCGAACGUGAAAUGUAGCAAUACAGAGUAAAGUGGCGUACGGGUGAGUAACACGUGGGUAAUCUACCAAAGAGCCUGGAAUAACCGGCCGAAAGGCUGGCUAAUACCAGAUAGUUCAAAUGAAAUAUAAUGUUUCAAUUGGGAAAGGGAGCGGGCAACCGCCUUCACUUUUUGUAUGAGCCCGCGUCUGAUUAGCUAGNGGUUGAGGUAAUGGCUCACCAAGGCUGAGAUCAGUAGCUGGUCUGAGAGGAUGAUCAGCCACACUGGAACUAGAAACACGGUCCAGACUCCUACGGGAGGCAGCAGUGGGGAAUCUUUGCGCAAUAGGACGAAAGUCUGACGCA